GCGCAGCAGGCGCGAAAACUUCACACUGUGCGAAAGCACGAUGAGGGAAUCCCAAGUGCUUGCACGUAAGUGUAAGCUGUUCCUCUGUCUAAAACGCAGAGAGAGUAAGGGCUGGGUAAGACGGGUGCCAGCCGCCGCGGUAAUACCUGCAGCUCAAGUGGUGACCGUUAUUAUUGGGCCUAAAACGUCCGUAGCCGGUUUAAUAAAUGCCUGGGUAAAUUGUGUAGCUUAACUAUACGAAUUCCGGGUAGACUGUUAAACUUGAGACCGGGAGAAGUUAGAGGUACUCCUGGGGUAGAGGUGAAAAUUCUGUAAUCCUAGGGGGACCACCAGUGGCGAAGGCGUCUAACUAGAACGGGUCUGACGGUGAGGGACGAAGCCCUGGGGCGCAAAC
rnacentral:rRNA from 1 species